rnacentral:rRNA from 1 species
AGAGUUUGAUCCUGGCUCAGAACGAACGCUCGCGGCGUGCCUAACACAUGCAAGUCGCGCGGGCCUGGGGGCAACUCCAGGUCAGCGGCAGACGGGUGCGUAACACGUGGGUAAUCUGCCCUCGAGUGGGGAAUAACCCGGGGAAACUCGGGCUAAUACCGCAUGACAUCGCGGGGUCGAAGGAUCCUGCGAUCAAAGCUGGGGACCGCAAGGCCUGGCGCUUGAGGAUGAGCCCGCGGCCGAUUAGCUAGUUGGCGGGGUAAAAGCCCACCAAGGCGACGAUCGGUAGCCGGCCUGAGAGGGUGACCGGCCACACUGGGACUGAGACACGGCCCAGACUCCUACGGGAGGCAGCAGUGAGGAAUUAUGCGCAAUGGGGGAAACCCUGACGCUGCGACGCCGCGUGGGUGAUGAAGGCCUUCGGGUCGUAAAACCCUGUCGAGAGGGAAGAACUGCGCGGGUGUUAACAGCAUCCGCGUCUGACGGUACCUCUGGAGGAAGCCCCGGCUAACUCCGUGCCAGCAGCCGCGGUAAUACGGAGGGGGCGAGCGUUGUUCGGAAUUACUGGGCGUAAAGCGCGCGUAGGCGGUCAGGUCAGUCGGAUGUGAAAGCCCUCAGCUCAACUGAGGAACUGCGUCCGAUACUGCCUGGCUUGAGUCCGGUAGGGGAUGGCGGAAUUCCCGGUGUAGCGGUGGAAUGCGUAGAUAUCGGGAGGAACACCGAUGGCGUAGGCGGCCAUCUGGGCCGGAACUGACGCUGAGGCGCGAGAGCUAGGGGAGCAAACAGGAUUAGAUACCCUG